rnacentral:rRNA from 1 species
UUACAGAAUGAAAGUGCUUAACUGCAAUUUUUUCUUACACAUGUGUUUUUCUUUUUUUGAAAACUUUGCUUUGGUAGGCCUUCUAUAUGGGGCCUGCCAGAGAUUAAACUCAACCAAAUUUUAUUUAAUGUCAACCGAUUAUUUAAUAGUCAAAACUUUCAACAACGGAUCUCUUGGUUCUCGCAUCGAUGAAGAACGCAGCGAAAUGCGAUAAGUAAUAUGAAUUGCAGAUAUUCGUGAAUCAUCGAAUCUUUGAACGCACAUUGCGCCCUUUGGUAUUCCAAAGGGCAUGCCUGUUUGAGCGUCAUUUCUCCCUCAAACCCUCGGGUUUGGUGUUGAGCGAUACGCUGGGUUUGCUUGAAAGAAAGGCGGAGUAUAAACUAAUGGAUAGGUUUUUUCCACUCAUUGGUACAAACUCCAAAACUUCUUCCAAAUUCGACCUCAAAUCAGGUAGGACUACCCGCUGAACUUAAGCAUAUCAAUAAGCGGAGGAAUAA